GGUACUGAGAGGAAGAUUGUCUGUGGUGAGUUUGCGUUGUUCAGUGGUGCUCAGUACACAGCCUACCUCUUUUUGGUAUU
rnacentral:pre_miRNA from 1 species